rnacentral:rRNA from 1 species
UUCCGGUUGAUCCUGCCGGACCUGACUGCUAUCGGAUUAAUACUAAGCCAUGCGAGUUUUUGUAGUAAUACAAGGCAUACGGCUCAGUAACACGUAGUCAACCUACCCUAUGGACGAGGAUAAUCUCGGGAAACUGAGCAUAAUACUCGAUAGAUCAUAAUGCCUGGAAUGGUUUAUGGUUGAAAUGAUUCGUUCGCCAUAGGAUGGGACUGCGGCCUAUCAGCUUGUUGGUGAGGUAAUGGCCCACCAAGGCGAUUACAGGUACGGGCUCUGAGAGGAGAAGCCCGGAGAUGGGUACUGAGACACGGACCCAGGCCCUAUGGGGCGCAGCAGGCGAGAAAACUUUGCAAUGUGCGAAAGCACGACAAGGUUAGUCCGAGUGAUUUCUGCUAAAGAGAUCUUUUGCAAGUUCUAAAACCACUAGUGAAUAAGGGGUGGGCAAGUUCUGGUGUCAGCCGCCGCGGUAAAACCAGCACCUCGAGUGGUCAGGAGGAUUAUUGGGCCUAAAGCAUCCGUAGCCGGCUCUGUAAGUUUUCGGUUAAAUCCAUGCGCUCAACGCAUGGGCUGCCGAAAAUACUGCAGAGCUAGGGAGUGGGAGAGGUAGACGGUACUCGGUAGGAAGGGGUAAAAUCCUUUGAUCUAUCGAUGACCACCUGUGGCGAAGGCGGUCUACCAGAACACGUUCGACGGUGAGGGAUGAAAGCUGGGGGAGCAAACCGGACUAGAUACCCGGGUAGUCCCAGCUUGUAAACGAUGCAGACUCGAUGAUGCAUUGGCAUAUAGCCAGUGCAGUGUCGCAGGGAAGCCGUUAAGUCUGCCGCCUGGGAAGUACGUACGCAAGUAUGAAACUUAAAGGAAUUGGCGGGGGAGCACCACAAGGGGUGAAGCCUGCGGUUCAAUUGGAUUCAACGCCGGA